rnacentral:rRNA from 1 species
GACAUGGACUCAUCAAGGGCAACAGCAGCACUGCAGCGAGAAGAAGAAGAAGAGAUGGCUGGAGUCAAGCCCGGAGCAGGGACCGCCAGACAUGGACUCGUCGACGAGUCACCGGCGGCAAGCGUGUCGUCGCGUUGCGCCUGUGGUUUUCAGCUCGGCGAACGCCGUCGUGGGCCGGGCCGGCGUCGCGCGCCAACAAGUAGGCACGGUCGGGCCCGGCGUCCGGCACUGCUCCGCCGUGGCCGCUCGUUGGUCGAUCGGGGCACGUGCUGCUAGGCGCUGCCAUCGGAAAUUCUAGAAUACUAGUCGGAGAUGCUGUCCCGAUCGCGCGGGCUCCAGGGGCGGGGGACACGACGUGGGCCGCGCCGCU